CUUUGAAGUGUGGACGCCAGUCUGCAUGGAGCCGACCUUGAAAUACCACCCUUUAAUGUUUGAUGUUCUAACGUUGGCCCCUAAUCGGGGUUGCGGACAGUGUCUGGUGGGUAGUUUGACUGGGGCGGUCUCCUCCUAAAGAGUAACGGAGGAGCACGAAGGUUGGCUAAUCCUGGUCGGACAUCAGGAGGUUAGUGCAAUGGCAUAAGCCAGCUUGACUGCGAGCGUGACGGCGCGAGCAGGUGCGAAAGCAGGUCAUAGUGAUCCGGUGGUUCUGAAUGGAAGGGCCAUCGCUCAACGGAUAAAAGGUACUCCGGGGAUAACAGGCUGAUACCGCCCAAGAGUUCAUAUCGACGGCGGUGUUUGGCACCUCGAUGUCGGCUCAUCACAUCCUGGGGCUGAAGUAGGUCCCAAGGGUAUGGCUGUUCGCCAUUUAAAGUGGUACGCGAGCUGGGUUUAGAACGUCGUGAGACAGUUCGGUCCCUAUCUGCCGUGGGCGCUGGAGAACUGAGGGGGGCUGCUCCUAGUACGAGAGGACCGGAGUGGACGCAUCACUGGUGUUCGGGUUGUCAUGCCAAUGGCACUGCCCGGUAGCUAAAUGCGGAAGAGAUAAGUGCUGAAAGCAUCUAAGCACGAAACUUGCCCCGAGAUGAGUUCUCCCUGAGACUUAGAGUCUCCUGAAGGAACGUUGAAGACGACGACGUUGAUAGGCCGGGUGUGUAAGCGCAGCGAUGCGUUGAGCUAACCGGUACUAAUGAACCGUGAGGCUUAACCUUACAACGCCGAAG
rnacentral:rRNA from 1 species